AAAUUAUUAAAACAAUAUUGAUAUUUAACUCAUCGUAUCCUAAUUAAUUUAGGACAUUUACCAUUAUCUGUACCCUUGAGGUUAUUUCCAUCUGUUACAUCUGUCACGUGGAAACAGUUUUCUUCUUUGUGGUACUGGGGACUGAACUCAGGGCCUUCGCACUGAACUACAUUCCCAGCCCUCUUUUUAUUUUUUUACUUUGAGGGAAGGUCUUGCUAAGUGACUAAGUUGCCCAGGCUGUGCUCUAACUUGUGAUCUUCCGGCCUCCACCUCCCCAAGUGCUGCCAUCGCCACCACCACACCCAGCUGGAAACACUUUGAAACAGUGAGCAACGGUACAUCUCUCCCCGUCUCCCUGUUCACUGACAUCACAAUUGGGGGCUUGCACUGGGCCACCGUGGGACUGCUUACAUCACAGAAAUUGGCAUAUGCUGUGCACCGGGGCUUGGGUUUGUUUUGUGUACUUAAGAUAAUCAGAACGUUGAUCAGAGUAAAACCAAAGCGCAUCAAGUCUGUAACUGUUACAAGCGUGAAGUGCUAAGAACUGCGUCAGUACGUAGACGGGAGAUGCUCACAUCUUUGAUAGAGAGUACCGCUCCAAUGAGCAUUUCCGUUCGACCUGUUGAGGUUCAUGUUGGAACUACAGUGAGCUCCUGGCUGGGGCCUGGACUUCCGGGACAUUUCCAGGUUCAGCAGAGGGUAAAAUCCAGGGGCUCGUCUUACAAAAAGGAAAGUUUGGAGCUAAACAGAACCAAGAGUUGAACUCACGUUUUCAGCCUCCCAAU
rnacentral:lncRNA from 1 species